rnacentral:rRNA from 1 species
CACGAGUUUGAUCCUGGCUCAGGAUGAACGCUAGCGGCAGGCCUAACACAUGCAAGUCGAGGGGUAGAGUUCUUCGGGACUUGAGACCGGCGCACGGGUGCGUAACGCGUAUGCAAUCUACCUUAUACAGGGGAAUAGCCCAGAGAAAUUUGGAUUAAUGCCCCAUAGUGUUAUCGAAUCGCAUGGUUUGAUAACUAAAGUUCCAACGGUAUAAGAUGAGCAUGCGUCCCAUUAGUUAGUUGGUAAGGUAACGGCUUACCAAGACAAUGAUGGGUAGGGGUCCUGAGAGGGAGAUCCCCCCACACUGGUACUGAGACACGGACCAGACUCCUACGGGAGGCAGCAGUGAGGAAUAUUGGUCAAUGGGCGCAAGCCUGAACCAGCCAUGCCGCGUGCAGGAAGACGGUCCUAUGGAUUGUAAACUGCUUUUAUACAGGAAGAAACCCUCCCACGUGUGGGAGCUUGACGGUACUGUAGGAAUAAGGAUCGGCUAACUCCGUG